CACGUAGGCGGUGUUCCAUGUCAGAGGUGAAAGCCUGGGGCUCAACUCCAGAAUUGCCUUUGAAACGGGAACGCUUGAGUCCGAGAGAGGAUAGCGGAAUUCCUAGUGUAGAGGUGAAAUUCGUAGAUAUUAGGAAGAACACCAGUGGCGAAGGCGGCUAUCUGGCUCGGUACUGACGCUCAGGUGCGAAAGCGUGGGGAGCAAACAGGAUUAGAUACCCUGGUAGUCCACGCCGUAAACGAUGAGUGCUAGUUGUUGGGAAGUUUACUUCUCAGUGACGCAGCUAACGCGAUAAGCACUCCGCCUGGGGAGUACGGCCGCAAGGUUAAA
rnacentral:rRNA from 1 species